AGCGUGGGCCUUGUACCAGACAAUCACUGAAGGCAAGGCGAGUGAGUCAGACGUAGAUCCAAUUGUGGUAUGGCUAUUUUUGGAGUCACCUUGCUCUUCCAAGUGUCCCCUUUUCAGGCGAUUUGGAAUUAAGAAAGAAGAGACGGCAAUUCUAAGGAUUUUCAUUUCUUCUUUUUCUUCGAUCUCCCGCUCUCCUAUCCAUCUCUCACUUUGGGCGACCUUCCCCGUGAUGCUGGAGUCGGAAGAGAGACGAGGUGAAGCUCCUUCGUACGAUGACAUGGGAAAGAAGGCCUAUAAUGUAAGCCCUACAUGAUCACCAAGUUGAGGGAGAGUUGGACCGAGCAGGAUCACGACACGUUCCUCGAGUGGAGACCUUCCAGGUUCCAGCUGGAAAACCAAAUGGUGUAAAGGGAAAGGGAGGAACUUCUUCAAUGUAUGAUGACGACCUCGAAGAGGAACGACAUAAAUUUAUGAUGACAAAUGACAUAGAUCAGUUAAGCAGGGAGGAAGAAUUGUCUGAUUAACAAACCGGCCAGUGUCAAAACUUUGAAGCAGAUAAAGUAUCAACCUGCAUUGUAUAAUCCUCCUGUUGAGUUAUUGCAUUGCAAAGUAGUUAUUAUUA